UAGGGAAUCUUCCGCAAUGGGCGGAAGCUUGACGGAGCAACGCCGCGUGAGUGAUGAAGGUCUUCGGAUCGUAAAACUCUGUUAUUAGGGAAGAACAAAUGUGUAAGUAACUAUGCACGUCUUGACGGUACCUAAUCAGAAAGCCACGGCUAACUACGUGCCAGCAGCCGCGGUAAUACGUAGGUGGCAAGCGUUAUCCGGAAUUAUUGGGCGUAAAGCGCGCGUAGGCGGUUUUUUAAGUCUGAUGUGAAAGCCCACGGCUCAACCGUGGAGGGUCAUUGGAAACUGGAAAACUUGAGUGCAGAAGAGGAAAGUGGAAUUCCAUGUGUAGCGGUGAAAUGCGCAGAGAUAUGGAGGAACACCAGUGGCGAAGGCGACUUUCUGGUCUGUACCUGACGCUGAUGUGCGAAAGCGUGGGGAUCAAACAGG
rnacentral:rRNA from 1 species